rnacentral:snRNA from 1 species
AUACUUACCUGGCGCCGGGAUAACCGUGAUCCGGAGGGCGGUUUCCCCAGGGUGAGGCUUGACCAUUGCACUUGGGUUUAGCUGACUCCUGCCACUACCCCAAACUGGGGCAGAUGGGGCGUGUAAUUUGUGAUAGCUGGGGACUGCGUUCGCGCUCUCCCCUU